CCUACGGGAGGCAGCAGUGGGGAAUAUUGCACAAUGGGGGAAACCCUGAUGCAGCAACGCCGCGUGAGUGAAGAAGUAUUUCGGUAUGUAAAGCUCUAUCAGCAGGGAAGAGAAUGACGGUACCUGACUAAGAAGCCCCGGCUAACUACGUGCCAGCAGCCGCGGUAAUACGUAGGGGGCAAGCGUUAUCCGGAUUUACUGGGUGUAAAGGGAGCGUAGACGGCUGGGCAAGUCUGAAGUGAAAGCCCGUGGCCCAACCGCGGAACUGCUUUGGAAACUGUAAGGCGAGAGUACUGGAGAGGCAGGGGGAAGGCGGAGUGUAGAGGUGAAAGGAGUAGAUAUGAGGAGGAAUAGGAGUGGCGAAGGAGGCCUGAUGGAAAGUAAUGGACGUGGAGGAGCGAAAGUGGGGGGAGAAAACAGGAUUAGAGAGAAGUGUAGGC
rnacentral:rRNA from 1 species